rnacentral:rRNA from 1 species
CCUACGGGAGGCUGCAGUGGGGGAUAUUGCACAAUGGGGGAAACCCUGAUGCAGCGACGCCGCGUGAGUGAAUAAGUAUCUCGGUAUGGUAAGCUCCAUUAGCAGGGAAGAAAAUGACAGUACUUGUCCAAGAAGCCCCGACUAACUAUGUGCCAGCAGCCGCGGUAAUAAGGAGGGGGCAAGCGUUAUCCGGAUUUACUGGGAGUAAAGGGAGAGUAGACGGUUUUGUAUGUCUGGAGUGAAAGCCCGGGGCCCAACCCCGGGACGGCUUUGGAAACUGGGUAACUGGAGUACAGGAGGGGCAGGCGGAAUUCCUGGUGUAGCGGUGAAAUGCGUAGAUAUCAGGAGGAACACCGGCGGCGAAGGCGGCCUGCUGGACUGAAACUGACGUUGAGGCACGAAAGCGUGGGGAGCGAACAGGAUUAGAUACCCUAGUAGUC